rnacentral:lncRNA from 1 species
UCCUACAUCGCAUAUCUUAUUUUAAUUCUUAAAACACAAAAUUAAGUAUCUCUCCUCCCCAAAUUCAAUUCCCCUAAAUCACCCCCGUCUCCACACUACUCUCCCCUCCCCCGUCUGAAUCAGCGCUGCCCCUCCUUCCUCCGCCGUGAAUCCCUCCUCUUCGUUUGUCUAUUCUUUCUGCAGCUCCACACCAGCCUCUCCCCUCUCCCGCGGCAAUUACUCCGGCCCUAACUCGGCACCGUGGCCCCUCCUUCCUGUUUCCGCGUAGCAAUUUCUCCCUCUCUUCCGCCGCGAUUCGCGUCACCGCCGCUGCCGCAAUCGCUAGAGAUCUACUCCGAUCUGCCACCGCGGCCCCUUCUUCCUGUCUCCGCGUAGCAAUUUCUCCCUCUCUUCCGUCGCGAUUCGCGUCACCGCCGCUGCCGCAAUCGCCAGAGAUCUGCUCCGAUCUGCCUCCCACUCCACCAAUUUCUUCAUUCUGCCUCCCGCUGCGAUUCACUUCACCGCGCCGGCCACCGCCGAGAUCGACACAGUCUGCCGCCUCGCCAUGGUAAGUAUUCAAUUUAGGGUUUAGAUUUAACAAUGGAAAAUUAUUAUGUUAGGAAAGAUUAAUAAUCAAAGUUGUUUGAAUCCGAGUGCAGUUGACUGGAAUCCGAGUGCAGCCUCACCGCCUCUUUGUGAUUUCCGGCGACCACGGCAGCCAUGUCCGCCGAUCUGCCACCUCCCUUCCCCCAUAUGGUAAGUAUUAAAUGUUUGACUAUUUUAAAUAUAGAAUGAUUAUUAUUUUAGAAAGAACAAAUUUUGGAAAGAUUUUUAACAAUGGAAACCUAAACCCUAGAUUUUUAUGUUAAUUAAUUUUCGGUAGCUGCAAAUUAUGUAAAUAUAGAAUGGCAAUAAACUUUAGAAAGAAAUGUUUUUGGAAACAAUUUUAUCAAAGGAAACUUAAACCCUAGAUUUUCAUCUAUAAAUUCAUUAGUUUGAAUUGUUAAAGAUGCAGCGGACACAAGGUAACCUUCUUCUUCUUCUUUUGUUGUCUUUCUUUUCUUUUCUUUUGCAUUAAGGCGGCAAUACCUCCUUCUUCUUUUUCUUCCUUUUUCCAGAUUUUUGGUUUAGAGGAUUAAGGGAUUGCUUACUUUAAAUCGAGCUGUAGGGAUCGAUAUAUACUUAUCUAUCAGGUUCUUUGAGAACCUUUGCUCAUGUACGAACAUGAAGAAAUUAUCAUUAUAUGACCAAGGUUUGUGAUUUGAUAAAGAUCAUCGAUUCCUCAUUCAAAUAAAUAUGAAUAAUUGUGCAAGGAUAACAUAGAUGAUAAUGUUAAUCUUGAUUGUUAUGUAUAUAAUUGAGGUGGCUUGAUCUUGAUGGGUUGGUGCUAGGCCAAGAAUCUGCAAACAAAUUAUAUUUCGUGCAGGAGGAAGAAGAAGAUGACGACUGAGUAAAUUUUGAAUUCGAUGAUGAAGAUGUUUGGUUACAGUCGUAAUAUGUUAUCUACUGUAUAUGAAAUUCUCCUUCUCCACAGCAUGAAUAGGGCCAAUCUUUUAGUGUUAUCCACUGAUGCAGAGUUUCAAUUUUUUUUUUAUUGUGUGGAAGCCAUUUUCAAGCAUUAUAAUUGAUACUUUUUGGAGCCAUUUAUGAUCUGCCUUUAUUUUCUCCACUCCCUUUCUGAUCUACCUAUGUUACACAACACAUGGCCUUUUAUAAAUGAAAGGCCCUUUAUAAGUUUUGUAUUUAUUAAUUCAGAUUUUAUAAAGUAUAUGCUUCGUUAUAUACUAAUGUUGUGACUCACUUUGAUUGCUUAACAAUUUUACAGGACUGUGAGAUCACAUGGUGAUUCAAUUUCAGAAGCCAAAACAACAAAUUUCAGAAGCCAAAACAGCAGAUGAAAAAGUUCAGUCCCCAUCCUCAAAGUAAGCAAAUCAUUAUCUUAGAUUUUAAGAUGAGGAUGUGAUGCGCUGCAUAUACUGGGAAUGUUAAUAGUGGGUGGUUUUUAUUGGUUAAUUACCAAACUGUAGAAGAGGUUAUAUGAUUUGGAUGUCGAGGUGAUGUUAUAUUGUUUAAUUUUUCAAAACAAAUAUGUGAGUUUUAUUUCUAUUUACAUUCUUGAGAAAUCUGUUUUCAAAAUGCUUGAUAGAACCCUGCGAAUUUUUCUUUACAUUCUUGAGAUUGUCUCUUGCUGAUUCUUUUCUUCUUUUUUUGUUGUAGGGAUUAAAGUAGAAUCUAUAACUAUAUUA